rnacentral:rRNA from 1 species
GCGGCAUGCCUUACACAUGCAAGUCGAACGGUAACAGGUCUUCGGAUGCUGACGAGUGGCGAACGGGUGAGUAAUACAUCGGAACGUGCCUAGUAGUGGGGGAUAACUACUCGAAAGAGUAGCUAAUACCGCAUGAGAUCUACGGAUGAAAGCAGGGGAUCGCAAGACCUUGUGCUACUAGAGCGGCUGAUGGCAGAUUAGGUAGUUGGUGGGAUAAAAGCUUACCAAGCCGACGAUCUGUAGCUGGUCUGAGAGGACGAUCAGCCACACUGGGACUGAGACACGGCCCAGACUCCUACGGGAGGCAGCAGUGGGGAAUUUUGGACAAUGGGCGAAAGCCUGAUCCAGCAAUGCCGCGUGCAGGAUGAAGGCCUUCGGGUUGUAAACUGCUUUUGUACGGAACGAAAAGCCCUGGGUUAAUACCCUGGGGUCAUGACGGUACCGUAAGAAUAAGCACCGGCUAACUACGUGCCAGCAGCCGCGGUAAU